GCUUAUCACCAUUCCAGAUUGAAUAUACCCGAGCUUGGUUAGUACUUGGAUGGGUGACCGCUUGGGAAUACCAAGUGUGAUAAGCA
rfam:Ciona savignyi cont_34648, whole genome shotgun sequence.